AGUGAACGCUGGCGGCGUGCUUAACACAUGCAAGUCGAACGAGAACGGGAUAUAGCUUGCUAUAUUUGUCAGCUAAGUGGCGCACGGGUGAGUAAUGUAUAGAUAACCUGCCCUCUAGAAAGGAAUAACAGUUGGAAACGACUGCUAAUGCCCUAUAUGCCUUUAAUACAUAAGUAUGCAAGGGAACCGCUUUAGUGCUAGAGGAUGGGUCUGUAUGGUAUCAGCUUGUUGGUGAGGUAAUGGCACACCAAGGCUAUGACGCCUCACUGGUUUGAGAGGAUGAUCAGUCACACUGGAACUGAGAUACGGCCCAGACUCCUACGGGAGGCAGCAGUGGGGAAUAUUGCACAAUGGGCGCAAGCCUGAUGCAGCGACGCCGCGUGGGGGAUGACGGCCUUCGGGUUGUAAACCUAUUUCAGUAGGGACGAAGCGCAAGUGACGGUACCUACAGAAGAAGCACCGGCCAACUACGUGCCAGCAGCCGCGGUAA
rnacentral:rRNA from 1 species